AGGAUCAUUAUUGAAAUAAACCUGACGGGUUGUUGCUGGUUCCCUAGGGAGCAUGUGCACACCUUGUCAUCUUUAUAUCUCCACCUGUGCACCUUUUGUAGGCCUUUCAGGUCUAUGUUGCUUCAUUUACCCCAAUGUAUGUUAAUAGAAUGUUGUGACUAUAAUAUCUAUACAACUUUCAGCAACGGAUCUCUUGGCUCUCGCAUCGAUGAAGAACGCAGCGAAAUGCGAUAAGUAAUGUGAAUUGCAGAAUUCAGUGAAUCAUCGAAUCUUUGAACGCACCUUGCGCUCCUUGGUAUUCCGAGGAGCAUGCCUGUUUGAGUGUCAUUAAUAUAUAUAUCAAACCCUCUCUUGUCGAGUGGUUUGGAUGUGGGGGUUUGCUGGCCUCUUGAAGGGUUCAGCUCCUCUGAAAUGCAUUAGCAGAACAACAACCUGUUCAUUGGUGUGAUAACUAUCUACGCUAUUGAAUGUGAGGGUAAAAGUUCAGCUUUCUAACUGUCCAUGGAC
rnacentral:rRNA from 1 species